rnacentral:lncRNA from 1 species
CGCGGGGGAAGGAGUGGACCGGGAAGCGCCUCGGGUUCCAGAAUGACGCUCGGCCCAUGGACAGAGCCUGCCCAGUCACUCUCGGCUGCUAUUGAUCCCGAGGAUGAUGGCCGCCCCUAGCCAUUUCCCUCCUCUCUCUUCGGUUCCAGAACAGCCCAAGGAGCAGAAAAGAGUGACAAGGCCGUGAAAGGAGGCGCCUGGGGCGUAGCCGGCUCUAGGAGGUUACCCCAUGCGGAGUACACACCCUGCUACACCCAUCCCGGAGGAGGGAGGAAAUAGCCAGCCCGGAGCACCCCUGGACUCUGCCGGUCCCAGAGGCCACGCAAACUCCGCCCAGACUCGGUGAGGCCGCGGUAAUGCCACGCAGGGAACUGCGUGGAUAAGGUCGCUCGGAUCUGAGCGCCAAGGUCUCCCGCCUCUCCUUCCCGUCUAGUUCUCUCCGGACUCAAAUUGCCUUAAUCUCACCCAUCACUCUCUCAUGGAAAUGAUCUACUCGUGUGCAGUACUUCACAGCUUGUAUCACGGUCUCCCCUGAACCGUAUAGCAAGAGGGUGGUGGGGGGUGGAAGAGAAGGGUACUAUCUCCACUUUCCCGGCCAGGAGGCCCAAGUUAGGAGGCUUGUCCGAGAUCCCUAGGUCAGAGCACUAUUUAAGGUGAGAAGUUGGGUGGGGAGCUUGGCACCUUGCUCCAGUGUGCACUUUGCGCCUGGCCAUGUUUUAUAAGCAAGGGGGGCUUGGGCUGGUUAAGGGGGAGCAGGGACCGCAGGGCCAGGAAAGGGCAGCAUCCGGCAGGCCGGGGCGUCACGGUAUGUGCCUGGCCUGGGUAAACAACUCUGGCUUCCCACGAGCGCUGGAGGGACCCUGGGCAUGGGGCAGGGGCGUGGGGGAGGGGGGGCAGGGGCGUGGGGUGGGGCAGGGAGCGGGUGGAACAGCGAGGUCAAGCGUGGAGAUUCCAGUUGCGAGUCAGCUCCGCGCCGCGGAGCAAAGACAGGACGUGGAUAAUCUUGGGAGGGAGACGCUGAGCUGAAGAACAGAAAAGAGAGACAGAGGCAGAAGUGAGGAGAGAGGGACAGGAAAAGAAAAUAAAGGCAGAAAACCAGAGAAAAGAUGAGACGGAGUGCGGAAAAGCAGGCGGGGAUAAAGAAAGGAAAGAUCUGUCGGGGAAAUGCGGGGAGAAGUGGAGGAAAAGAAACAGAAAUUAGACCCAGAGAGAGACCCUGCCACGAAGAAGGCCGCGGGGACGGGCGCGGAGCCGAGGGCCCUGCAGGCACGGAGGGGGCGUCCCGCGGGUCUGGGGGUGUGCGGCUUUGGGACAGGCGAGUGCGUGCUGAGAGAAAGAGGCAGCGUGUUUGGUGGGAGACUCUGCGCCCGUGGAAAAGCGGCUCUGGGCAGGAAUCCAACAAAUAAAUAAAACGUCUAAGACGGCGUGACAACAAUGUGUAUUUGGGUGCGUGCCCGUGUUCCUCUGUCUGAACACCCAGUAAGGAAGACAAACGGGGCUCGUGCCUCACAGUAAUUAAUCCUCUCACUAAUUGACUCUCUCCCCUUACCUAAUGGCGGUGGUCACUGCCGAUAUCUGGAGAGACAUCAAGUUGGGGGAGACAGAGAGAGAGAACCCCAAAGCUAACGACCUUUGGGACUGAGAUUGAGUUUUUUCUGGACUUGGCAGCUCUAAGCCCUGCCCCCACCUCCACUUUUGGGCAGAGUUCCAUAGAUAUUGCUGCCUUCCUUCCCCCUCCAGGUUUUGGGCAGCAUUAAUAAAGAUCUCCUCAGAUUAGGGUGAUGUGGUUACACACACUGAAGCCCUUCUACCGCCCUCCACCUUGGGAGAUCAGUUUCAGAGGCUGAAAGCCACCCCUGUCCCUGGGACAUUUCUUACCUCCCUGCAAUACCAGCUCCCCCUCCCAUGUUGUUCCCCCAGGGGCCCAGACCCUGCACCCUCUUCUUUCAGGCAGUACUAACUCUUCCAAGGACCUGGGCGGUGUCCCGCAGUCCCCUAAGGCAGGUGAGGUUUUGAACGGGCUGAGAAGCAGUCUGGGGUUGAUGGAAGGAGAGUGGUGGGAGGUCAGGGCAAGGAUGGGGAGAGGCUUCCAGAGACAACCUUCCUCAGACUUGGGUUGAGAGACACAGAGGCGCAGAGAGGCGCAGUUGCCACCAGGCAAGAGAGAGGCCUCUAGGGACAAAGGAGGGAAAGGUGGGCUCUAUGCACUGUGGGAAGGAGCGCCAAGUGUGUGAGAGGCAGGAAGGUGGUCAUGUCUCUGUGACUGUGAGGGUGACAGUUCUGGUCUCUCUGUGUGAGCAUGGGGAAGCCCCCUAUGUUCCCUCACAGCACCCUCAGUUCUUAGACUGGGGAGAAGAGGCAGGGGACUGGUCUGGGACUUGAUGGUCCCCUUGGUAGCUGAGUUGGCUGGAAGGGGUCCAACGCCCACAGUCUGUCUGGUAAUGCAGCUUUGAGGCUUAGGUUUGGGAGGUGAAUGUCAACUCUCACCCCUGUGAGGUGGCAGCUUUGCUCUGUUGGCCUCC